rnacentral:rRNA from 1 species
GAGUUUGAUCUUGGCUCAGAUUGAACGCUGGCGGCAUGCCUUACACAUGCAAGUCGAACGGCAGCACGGGAGCUUGCUCCUGGUGGCGAGUGGCGAACGGGUGAGUAAUGCAUCGGAACGUAUCCUGGAGUGGGGGAUAACGUAGCGAAAGUUACGCUAAUACCGCAUAUUCUGUGAGCAGGAAAGCGGGGGACCUUCGGGCCUCGCGCUCUUGGAGCGGCCGAUGUCGGAUUAGCUAGUUGGUGAGGUAAAGGCUCACCAAGGCGACGAUCCGUAGCAGGUCUGAGAGGAUGAUCUGCCACACUGGAACUGAGACACGGUCAGACUCCUACGGGAGGCAGCAGUGGGAAUUUUGGACAAUGGGGCAACCCUGAUCCAGCCAUGCCGCGUGAGUGAAGAAGGCC